AGGAAGUGAAGUGAAUUCCAGGAAAUGAAUUUCUUUGAGGCGCAGAGCCUGAAAAGGCGGUGUAGCUGUUACCCUGGAGAAUAAGCCGGGGAUGAAGACACCAGAAAGAAGGGACACAUUGGCAUGAAGGGAAUUUCUGUUGCCACCACAUGUUCCUGUUUACCUGUCCUUCACACACCUCCAGCCAGCCAGUGGGACAGCUGCUGCAGUAGCCUGGGUAAGCUACUUUUGGGGCAGAAGUCUGGACACUCAAACCCACUUCUGUUUCUCCGCUGGAGCCUGCACAGUUGAGCCUUUUCCAUAAUAGGCCCACAACAGAGUGCUGGCUGCAGAGUGAGAGUGUUGGCCCUGGCCAGGUGAGGUGACUCAUGCCUGUAAUCCCAGCACUUUGGGAGGCCAAAGAGGGCAGAUCACCUGAGGUUCGGAGUUCAAGACUAGCCUGACCAACAUGGAGAAACCCUGUCUCUACUAAAAAUAAAAAAUUUGCCAGGCUUGGUGGCACAUGCCUGUAAUCCCAGCUACUCGGGAAGCUGAGGUAGGAGAAUCACUUGAACCUAGGAGGUGGAGGUUGUAGUGAGCUGAGAUCGCACCAUUGCACUCCAGCCGGGGCAACAGAGAAAAACUCUAUCUAAAAAAAAGUUGGCCCUGUAAGGUGACACUGUACAUAAUUGUGAGCUGGUGCUGCUUAGGGGAAGGUGAUUAGCACAUUGUUGCUGGAGUUCUGGCAGCUCUAUUUCCCAUCCAAGUCAGCACUCUCUUGUUUUCUAUUUUGGGUCCUGAAUGCUUAAGCAAAGGGGAAAUCAUCAAAAACCACAGUAGAGACUAAUAGGGUGGAGGAAAAGGCAGAAAUAAGCAGGUGGGGCUGGGCAUGGUGGCUCAUGCUUGUAAUCCCAGCACUUUGGGAGGCCGAGGCGGGCAGAUCACCUGAGGUCACGAGUUUGAGACCAGCCUGGCCAACAUGAUGAAACCCUGUCUCUACUAAAAAUACAAAAAAUUGGCCGGGCAGAGUGGUUCACACCUGUAAUUCCAGCACUUUAGGAGGCCGAGGUGGGCAGAUCACGAGAACAUGGGUUUGAGACCAGACUGACCUACAUGGUGAAACCCUGUCUCUACUAAAGAUACAAAAAUUAGCUGGGUGUGGUGGUGCCUGCUUGUAAUCCCAGCUACUCAGGAGGCUGAGUAGUUGACACAGUGAGACCAAAAUGCCCCACUCCACUCAGAGUAAAACCCAAAGACACUGUGGCAGCCUGUGAGGCCCUAAGCAGUCUGCUCCCUACUACCUCCCUGAUCUCAGCUCCUCCUUGCCACGGUUCAGCCCACUCCAGUCACACUGGCCUCCUAACUGCUACCACUCAUGUCAGAUCCAUGCCAGCCUCAGGCUCUUGCUGCUCUGCUGGGAAGACCCAGCAGAUGCCCCUCUCCAAGACCGUGAUACUUCCCUCUCUCACCUCCUUAAGUCUUGGCUUCAGUGUCACCUUCUUUUUUUUUUUCUUUUUUUUUUUUUUGAGAUAGAGCCUUGCUCUGUCACCCAGGCUGGAGUGCAGUGGCUGAAUCUCAGCUCACUGCAACCUCCACCUCCUGGGUUCAAGCGAUUCUCCAGCCUCAGCCUCCUGAGUAGCUGGGACUACAGACACAUGCCACUGCGUCUAGUUAAUUUUUGUAUUUUUAGUAAAGACAGGGUUUUGCCAUGUUGGCCAGGCUGGUCUCACACUCCUGACCUCUCACCUCAGGUGAUCCAUCCACCUCUAGCCUCCCAAAGUGUGGGGAUUACAGGUGUGAGCCACCAUGCCCGGCCGUACUUUUCAGUUCUCUUUCGCCCUAGGGCUUUCCCCUCUGUGACACUCCCAUGACCCACGAGGACCCCAGACUCUGAAGAUGGGGGAGUAUCCGAAUUUAGUCUCCACCACCAGUGGGAGGAAUACAGUAUGCCGGCAUCCUCUCCUGCAGCAGCCCCUGAGAAUGGAGUGCAUGCAAGGGACUCCUGUCCAGGGAAGGAACUUCAUAUUCAUCCCCAAGGAACCAAGGUGGGAGAGGGGAGUGCAAAGGCGCAAUCUUGGCUCACUACAACCUCCGCCUUCUGGGUUCAAGCAAUUCCAAUUAUAGGCAUAAACCACUGUGCCCAGCCUAAUUUUAAUUAAUCUAAAUUUAUAUUUUAAUAGUUAUAUGAGGCUAGUGGCUACCAUUUUGGACAGCACAGCUCCAGAAAUUAUGAGUGAUGGGAAGAAAAAACUUCUUUUUCCUUUUCUAUUUAUUUAUUUAUUUUUCUUUUUUUUAAAGACAGGUUUUCACCAUGUUGGUCAGGAUGGUCUUGAUCUCCUGACUUCGUGAUCCGCCUGUCUCUGCCUCCCAAAAUGCUGGGAUUACAGGCAUGAGCCACUGCACAUGGCCGGGAAGGAAAAACUUUUAACAAAAAAAAUUUAAGGUAAUUUUUUUAAAGACAGUACUUUAAAGAGUUCUUUUUAUAUCUAGGCCGGAUGCAGUGGAUCACACCUGUAAUUGCAGCACUUUGGGAGGCUGAGGCGGGCAGAUCACCUGAGGUCAGAAGUUUGAGACCAGCCUGACCAACAUGGAGAAAUCCCGUCUCUACUAAAAAUACAAAAUUAGCGGGGCGUAGUGGCACACGCCUGUAGUCCCAGCUACUCGGGAAACUGAGGCAGAAGAAUUGCUUGAAUCCAGGAGGCAGAGGCUGCAGUAAGCCAACAUUUUGCCAUUGUACUCUAGCCUUGGUGACAGAGUGAUUCUUUUUUUUUCUCUCCCUCCCAUUUCACAAACCCAGAGUCUUAAAGAAAAAUGUGGGAGGAAAAAUCAGGAUCACCCAUAACAUCACCAAAUACAACCACUGCCACUAUUUUUAAAGUUUAUUUUCAUCUUUUUUCUAGACACAGUCUAAUUUUGCCUUGUAUAUAUCGUUUUCAAAUGGCUCCCUAUGCAAAUUUGACUACUGCAUAAAAACAAACAAAGGGGGUCUUUGCCUUGAAUUAUUUUAUUAUCUUCGUAUUGUUUGUUAGAACUCAAGGCAAACUUGUAGCCCACCAACGCAAGCCCGUCCCUUCCUUUCUUCCAGUCUAUCUCUUUGCUAUAUUUUUAUGGAUCUCUAUAAGUUAUCUAUCAUUCUUUUUUGGUAAGGCAGAGUAGAAAUCAAUGAAUUGUAAUCCUGUUUGCACAUUAGAAUCACCUGGAGAACUUUAAAAAAAUAUAAAUACUCAGCUAGGUGUGGUGGCUCACUCCUGUAAUCCCAGCACUUUGGGAGGUCAAGGCUGUUGGAUCUCCUGAGGUUGGGAGUUCAAGACCAGCCUGACCAACAUGGUGAAACCCCAUCUGUACUAAAAAUACAAAAUUGGCCAGGCAUGGUGGCAGGUGCCUGUAAUCCUAGCUACUUGGGAGGCUGAGGCAGGAGAAUGGCUUGAACCUGGGAGGCCGAGGUUGUAGUGAGUGGAGAUCCAGCCAUUGCACUCCAGCCUGGGCUACAAGAGUGAAAAAUCCAUCUCAAAAAACAAAACAAAACAAAACAAAACAAAUGAAUACUCAAGCAAACUCCUAACUUAAUAAAAAUGUCUAGGAGUGGGGCUAAGCACCAGUAUUUUGUAAAGCUUCCCAAAUGUUUGUUCAUGUAAAUAAAUAAACACAUGCAUAAUUAUGUAUAAUAACUGUCUAUAUCACUAUUACAUAUUUUUCCAAACACAUACUAGGCCUUUUUUUAAACCCCAAAAUAACUAAACUUUUGUGGUAUUACUGCUAAAAAUGCACAGCCUGAAUCUAAUCAUUAAGAACAGCCAGGCCGGGCAUGGUGGCUCAUACCUGUAAUACCAGCACUUUGGGAGGCUGAGGUGGGCAGAUCACCUGAGGUCAGGAGUUUGAGACCAGCCUGUCUAACAUGGUGAAACCUCGUUUCUACUAAAAAUUGAAAAAAUUAGAGGGACGUGGUGGUGCAUGCCUGUAAUCCCAGCUACUCGGGAAGCUGAGGCAGGAGAAUUGCUUGAACCCGGGAGGCGGAGGUUGCAAUGAGCUGGGGAUAGCGCCACUGCACUCCAGCUUGGGCAACAAGAGCGAAACUCUCUCUAAAACAAACAAACAAACAAACAAACAAACAAACAAACAAACAAACGAAACAACCACAAAGAAAAACCAGCCAACAAACCCAAAGAGGGGAACAAUCUACAAAAUAUCUUCCUUGCCUGCGUUCUUCAAAAAUGUCAGUGUCUCAGUAGACAAUGAAAAGUUUGGAAACUAGAACAGGCUGGGAGAAGAAAAAAAAAUUGGAAACUAUUCCAGAGUAAAAAAAACUAAAGAGAUAUGACA